rnacentral:rRNA from 1 species
UACGAAGGGGGCUAGCGUUGUUCGGAAUUACUGGGCGUAAAGCGCGUGUAGGCGGGUCUUUUAAGUCAGGGGUGAAAUGCCAAGGCUCAACCUUGGAACUGCCUUUGAUACUGGAGACCUUGAGUCCGGGAGAGGUGAGUGGAAUUGCGAGUGUAGAGGUGAAAUUCGUAGAUAUUCGCAAGAACACCAGUGGCGAAGGCGGCUCACUGGCCCGGUACUGACGCUGAGGUGCGAAAGCGUGGGGAGCAAACAGGG